rnacentral:rRNA from 1 species
AUCCUACGGGAGGCAGCAGUGGGGAAUAUUGCGCAAUGGGCGAAAGCCUGACGCAGCAACGCCGCGUGCGGGAUGACGGCCUUCGGGUUGUAAACCGCUUUCAGCAGGGACGAAGCAACACGUGACGGUACCUGCAGAAGAAGCACCGGCCAACUACGUGCCAGCAGCCGCGGGUGAUACGUAGGGUGCGAGCGUUGUCCGGAAUUAUUGGGCGUAAAGAGCUUGUAGGCGGUCUGUCACGUCGAAAGUGAAAACUCAGGGCUCAACUCUGAGCCUGCUCUCGAUACGGGCAGACUAGAGGAAUGUAGGGGAGAACGGAAUUCUUGGUGGAGCGGUGGAAUGCGCAGAUAUCAGGAGGAACACCGGUGGCGAAGGCGGUUCUCUGGACAUUUCCUGACGCUGAGAAGCGAAAGCGUGGGUAGCAAACAGGCUUAGAUACCCUGGUAGUCCACGCCGUAAACGGUGGGUACCAGGUGUGGGGGACAUUCCACGUUCUCCGUGCCGUAGCUAACGCAUUAAGUACCCCGCCUGGGGAGUACGGCCGCAAGGCUAAAACUCAAAGGAAUUGACGGGGCCCCGCACAAGCGGCGGAGCAUGCGGAUUAAUUCGAUGCAACGCGAAGAACCUUACCUGGGUUUGACAUAUGCCGGAAACGCCUAGAGAUAGGCGCCCCCUUGUGGUCGGUUUACAGGUGGUGCAUGGCUGUCGUCAGCUCGUGUCGUGAGAUGUUGGUUUAAGUACCCUAACGAGCGCAACCCUCGUUGCCAGUUACAAGUGUCUGGCGAGACUGCCGGCCGCAAGCCGGAGGAAGGCGGGGAUGACGUCAAGUCAGCAUGGCCUUUAUAUCUGGGGCUACACACACGCUACAAUGGGUAGCAACAAUGGGUCGCCAAGCCGCGAGGUGGAGCCAAUCCCAUAAAACUGCCCUCAGUUCAGAUUGCAGGCUGCAACCCGCCUGCAUGAAGUCGGAGUUGCUAGUAAACGCGCGUCAGCUAUAGUGCGUUGAAUACGUUCCCGGCCCUUGUACACACCGCCAUCCAUAU